ACUCCUACGGGAGGCAGCAGCAAGGAAUUUUCGUCAAUGGGGGGAACCCUGAACGAGCAACGCCGCGUGGGCGAAGAAGUCCUUCGGGAUGUAAAGCCCUUUUCUGUGGGAAGAAAGAAAGACGGUACCACAGGAAUAAGCAUCGGCUAACUACGUGCCAGCAGCCGCGGUAAUACGUAGGAUGCAAGCGUUGUCCGGAAUUAUUGGGCGUAAAGGGU
rnacentral:rRNA from 1 species